GACGAACGCUGGCGGCGUGCCUAAUACAUGCAAGUUGAGCGAUGAAGAUUGGUGCUUGCACCAAUUUGAAGAGUAGCGAACGGGUGAGUAACGCGUGGGGAAUCUGCCUUUGAGCGGGGGACAACAUUUGGAAACGAAUGCUAAUACCGCAUAACAACUUUAAACAUAAGUUUUAAGUUUGAAAGAUGCAAUUGCAUCACUCAAAGAUGAUCCCGCGUUGUAUUAGCUAGUUGGUGAGGUAAAGGCUCACCAAGGCGAUGAUACAUAGCCGACCUGAGAGGGUGAUCGGCCACAUUGGGACUGAGACACGGCCCAAACUCCUACGGGAGGCAGCAGUAGGGAAUCUUCGGCAAUGGACGAAAGUCUGACCGAGCAACGCCGCGUGAGUGAAGAAGGGUUUCGGAUCGUAAAACUCUGUUGGUAGAGAAGAACGUUGGUGAGAGUGGAAAGCUCAUCAAGUGACGGUAACUACCCAGAAAGGGACGGCUAACUACGUG
rnacentral:rRNA from 1 species